GGUGGACCUGAUGUCCCUGAGUGUAUGUGGUGAACCUGAAUUUACCUUGGGUUUCCUCAUAUUCAUUCAGGAGUGUCAGUUGCCCCUUC
rnacentral:pre_miRNA from 1 species